UUAUCUUCUUGAAGUUGUGACGAGUUACACCUUCCUCGCAUUGACUAGGCUGACGAUAAAAUUUAACGGUCAAAUCCAACAGUCACCAACGAAGCAAAGAAGGAACAAAUUCCAGGAAAAGACGAUUCGGGAAGUAGGGGAACUACCAAACCCGCCAGGCACAAAAAAAAAUAAAAAAUCUUGAAACAGCUGCUUACUGGGCUUGUUGAUUGGUCUGGAUCUGUAUGGAAAUUUCAAGGAAAUGUUCUUCCAUACCACGUGUUUUCACUUUUCAGGGAAGAAUAUUGACUUAAUUAAUCCAAGUCUUUUUUAUUUUUUAAAAAAUUUAAUGAUUAGUUCUCGUUGAGUAACAAUGGCACGGUUCCCUUUUCUCAGUCAUGCAGGUGAAUGUUGGGGGGUUUACCAUCAUGAUUUUGACUGAGAAAAGCAUUAGAAACUAAAGGAAUUAAUCAAUGGCAUUCGAGCUUUAGCUGUUCGCAGAGACAGACGGACUGUUUGGAAAGCUGUUUGAGCUUUGUGUUCUUUCCUCUGCUGAUGUUUCUCCAAAGCAUUUUUCAUUGAAAUCUUGAAAUCUGGCUAAUGCUUAGCAUCAAAGGAAGUAAACUUGUCAACUAGAGCAGCUGGAAGCAAGAAUAUAUGUUGUGGGUUCUAGUGGUUGAUUCCAUAUUCUGAGAUGUAAAUGACAUUCCUUGGUUUCAAUUGAAGUUUUGGCAUGAAGUUAAUAUAAUGGCAUUGGAACUCAUACCAAUAGGCACCAUUUUGGCGGUGCUAACAAACCAGGUUAUUAAAACAGCUCAUGCUGCAAAGGAUGUGCUUUUUGAGAAAGAAAGUUUCAAAGUACUGGCAAAGCAUCUCUUUGAAAUUGAACCUGUCUUAAAGGAAUUGCAGCUACAAAAGCUAAAUGAUUCACAAGCUGUAAGGCAUGCUCUAGAAUCCCUUGAAGCAGAUGUCAAGAGGGCUAAUAACUUGGUUGACAAGUACAAAAACUGUGCCCGUUUCUAUUUAUUGAUCAAGUGCCGCCACAUAGUUAAGGAGGUAGAAGAAGUCACCAGGGAUAUUGGACGUUCUUUGGCUGCUUUACCCCUUGCCAGCACUGAAGUACUAUCAGGGAUAUCUGACGCUGUGACUAGGUUGCAAAAUGAGAUGCAGAGAGCAGAGUUUGAGAUUUCACAGUCUCAACGACGAAUUGUUGACAAGUUGAAUGAGGGUCUAAGAGAGCAGAAACUCGACCAGGGCUUUGCAAAUGACAUGCUUGAAGACAUUGCGAGGGCAGUUGGAGUGCCAGUUGAGCCCUCGGAGAUAAGCAAAGAGCUAGAAAGCUUCCGAAGAGAAAAGGAAGAAGCUGGGAUUAGGAAAGAAAGGGCUGAAGUUUUCUUCUUAGAGCAGGUUAUUGAAUUACUCUCUCGAGCCGAUGCUGCAAAAGAUUAUGAGGAAGUCAAGAAGCAGUAUUUCCGAAGAGUUCAAGUUAUAGGGCGAUAUGACCAGAGGGAAGAAUAUAUUCCACCUUUUAAUUCUUUCAUUUGCCCCAUAAGUGAAACUGUGAUGACUGAUCCUGUCAGCCUUUGCACUAAUACCACGUGUGAGCGAGCAGCAAUCAAAGCAAGGUUUGACCGUGGGGAGAGAACUGACCCAGAAACAGGAGAUUUUCUUGAAGAUAUGUCUUUGAGGUCCAACCUUCCUCUGAGACAAUCGAUUGAAGAGUGGAGAGAACUCAAUUACUGCCUCAAGAUCAGAGCUUCAAAGGCAAAGUUGCAAUCAGGUGAGGAUUUAUCUGUGGCAGAGGCCCUCGACCAAAUGCAGGCCCUCAUAAGAGAGAAUCCUGUUAACAAGGACUGGCUUUCCAUUGGCGGCCUUACUGACAUCAUUAUCUCUAUCCUUGGAAGUUCACACAACAAAGAUUUGAAGAGGAAGAUCUUAAUUACCUUGACGGGCAUCAUAGAAGGGCAUGCGAGAAAUAAGGACAAUGUGGUUGAGUCUCAAGCACUGGAUCACAUCAUUUGCUGCUUAGGGCGUGACGCAAGCACAUCAAAAUCUGCAGUUGAAUUGCUAUAUGAGUUAUUGCGGGACAGAUCUGGUUGGAAUGUGUCUCUUUUCAGGAAAAUCACUCAGCAAUCUUCGGCUAUGAUUUUCCUUGUUACCCUCCUUAAAGGUCCAGUGAGAGAGUCUGCAGAAAAAGCAAAAGAAAUAUUGACAAAGCUAUGUGAUGAAGAUGAAGAUAGCAUUGCUCAUGCUGCUAGAGCAGGCUGGUAUAAACCCCUGGUUGAUCGCAUUGUCCAUGGGCCAGAGUCGUCUAGGAUGUCAAUGGUGAGAACUCUUGUUAAUAUGGAACUAGUUGAUGAAAAUAUAAAGGUUCUUGGUGAAGAACGUGUGAUUCCUCCUUUGCUUGCAAUGUUAUCUGGAAAUCUUCAAUCUAAAGAAUUGUCUUUAUCUGCACUUAUUAAGCUAUCUGGUUGCCAUGCCAACAAGGAACUAAUUGCAGCCGCUGGUGGAGUUCCUUUAGUUUUGGAACUAAUGUUUUCAUCCCAUGUACACACAAGUAUUAUUAUUAAAUGCUCUGAAGUCCUUGAGAAACUUUCUUCAAAUGGUGAUGGAAUUAAAUUUCUUGUCGAUGAAAAUGGAAGACGACUUGAGUUAGAGUCAAUCAUUGCAAAAUUACUAGAUUUUCAACAGAAUCCCAUCUCAUCCCACAAGGUUCGCAGGCCUGCUUUACAUGCACUUCUUGAAAUUUGCAAGUCUGAAGCAGCACUUCUCAAGACUGCUGUGCUGAAUGCUCAUGGUGUUUCUCUUGUUCUUCCUCUUCUUGAUGAUUCUGACCCAGAAGUUCGAGACAUUGCGAUUAAUCUUUUAUUCCUCUUCUCCCAGCAUGAGCCAGAGGGUGUAGUAGAAUACCUUCUCAAGCCUAGAAGGCUGGAAGCUUUAGUUGGAUUUCUUGAGAAUGGUGAGAAGGUUGACUCACAGAUGGCGGCAGCUGGUUUAUUAGCCAAUCUCCCAAAAUCUGAAGUAUUGCUCACGAUGAAGUUGAUAGAGUUGGAAGGGCUAGAUGCCAUCAUAAAAAUCCUAAGUUCUGGGACAGUUGAAGCAAAAGAAAAUGCUCUUAGUGCACUCUUCAGGUUCACAGAUCCCACAAAUCUUGAGUCACAGCGGAAAGUGGUUGCACUAGAUGCAUACCCUUUGCUGGUGAAUUUUCUCAGUGCCAGUUCCGUUACGACGAGGGCAAGGGCAGCAGCUCUCAUUGGUAAUCUCUCAUUGAGUAGUCCAAAACUCGCUGCUGAAUCCAAGCCCACUUUCUGCUGGUGUUUCCCACGAGCAGGUGUCCCUCUAUGCAAAGCACAUGGGGGUAUCUGCAGUGUAACUGCUACUUUCUGUCUAUUGGAGGCCAAUGCCCUGCCUGAGCUGGUAAAACUCCUGCAAGAAGAGGUUGAUGCAACUGCAUAUGAAGCAAUUCAGGCACUUUCCACAUUGAUUCGGGAAGACUGUCCUGACAGAGGGGCCAGUGUCUUGCAUGAGGCUGAUGCCAUAAGCCCCACACUGGAAAUUUUGACUUGGGGAACAGAUUCUUUGAAGGCAGAAGUUUUGGGGCUUUUAGAGAAGGUUUUUAUGUCUAGGGAAAUGGUCAAUUGCUACGGAUUAAGAGCUAGGCAACUCCUGGUUGGACUAAGUGGCCGAAACAUGCAAGAGGAUAGCCAUCUUGGAAGGAAAGCGGCAAGAGUCUUGUCACGUAUUGAACGCUAUUCAAGAUCUUCAACGCUUCUUGUUCCACGGUCAAAUGGGUGAACAUUUUGUGGAUAGCUCUAGGCUUUAAACAGCCUGCUUUGCCUUUGCUAUGGCAUGUUGACAUCCCCAAGACAUUGUGUACAUGUCGGUAGCAAUACAGGGGGCUUGUCUGACAAUGAGGGUUUCACAUAAGAGUCAACAAUUUACAUUUAAGCUGAAGUCCAAUUUGGAUUUGUUCCAUUAAUAUUGGGACUCUGGCAUAAUUUGGUGAGGUUUGUGAGAUAUGCUUUCAAAGCCAACCCUGCAGCUCCAGUUAGAACCACAAAGGGGCUGGAGUAACUGAUAUAAGAUGGAAUGGACUGCCUUAAUGUAGAGUGCAGCCAACGUCAAGUGAAAAGGGCGCUGCCUAUGGUUAUGCCAGAAGAAGUGCCACUAGGCGGUGAGCCGAGAACAUCAGACAAGGCAUGUUUUUCAAUCCCAAAAGAGAGUAUGAAAAUAUUUUGACUUGAGACCCUUGAAUGCAUAGAUCUUUCACAAACCAUGUGCACUUCCAGAAAUUUGUGUGUUUUGACCGCCUAAAUGAAAUAAUUUUUGAAUUGUAGAGUUCAGACAUUGAAUUUUAAAUUGUGUAGAGUCCUAUUUAGUUCAAAUAUUCUUGUGUUAUGUUCAAAUUUACUUCAAGUUUGAAUUUAAGGCAUGAAUUUUAUGCUCCAAACAGAGUGUAAAACAUCUAUUUCAAUUUUUAUCAUGUAAUUGCACAAAGAAACUCUCAAACUAUUCACCUUGGAUGAAAUUGAACAAUCAACUAUCUAAUUUUUUGUUU